rnacentral:misc_RNA from 1 species
GAAAUGCGAUAAGUAAUGUGAAUUGCAGAAUUCCGUGAAUCAUCGAAUCUUUGAACGCACAUUGCGCCCAUUAGUAUUCUAAUGGGCAUGCCUGUUCGAGCGUCAUUUCAACCCUCAAGCCUUAGUUGCUUGGUGUUGGGAGCUUAUCCUGCCGCAAGGCGGGACAACUCCUUAAAUUUAUUGGCGGAGUCGCGGUGACCCCAAGCGCAGUAAUUCCUUUUCUCGCUUUAGGUGUUAACGCUGGCUUCUAGCCAUUAAACCCCCUAAUUUUCUAAUGGUUGACCUCGGAUCAGGUAGGACUACCCGCUGAACUUAAGC